AUUUAACACAGCUGUAGGUAAUCCAUGUGCUUCAUCAUAAAAACAUAACAAAAUCAUAAGAACAGUGAUCCAAAAUCUGUCUGAUAAUUAAGACAUUGUCCAAGAGAGACCAAACUAUAGUUGCCAAAAACAGUAACAUACUUCUAAAAGAACUCAGUUUAACUAAACAAUUGCCUGAGAUUUGUUAAGGAUCACUCCCUCAUAUUUCACCUGGAACCACUUCAUGGCGUCAUCCUUGGUGACACGGUGUUGAAUUCCAACACGGGCCUUGCAUCUACGGCGACGACCCACACGAUAGCCAGGGCGUUCCAGAACCACAAAGAAAUCCAUUCCAUAAAUACCAGUAGAAGGGUCAUACCUGAAGCAGAUUGUCAAGCGUUAGGGACCAAUAAUGUUUCAAUAGUUUUAAAUCUUAACCAUGCAAUCAAACAUUUAUGAGGAGAAUGAACCAAAAGCCAGAUAACAUAAAUACAGGAAAAUGAAUCCAAAAAAGAAAGGCAUGGCAAUGUCAUUUCAAGGACAGUAAGCCAGAUUGCAAAAACAGAUAAUUGGACUUUACUUCAUAAAAAAACUAAAUCACACAAAUCAACCUAGCCUGCAAAAGUCCUUGUUCCUCAAUACCAUAUAGAGCAAACUUUAUUAUAUGCACCAACAAAGCAAGGAAUAAUAAAAAUGAAACACAAAUAUUUUCAACUUAUUUGGAACAUGCAUAAUCUGUACCACAACCUAUGUCAUAUCAUAAACUUUCCUGCCUAAAAUGUUAAUCUCUGAGAAAAGUAAUAGAAAUAGCAUGAAAUCCAAGAGUUGUUCUUAAGCUUACUUGAUUCCCAAAUCAAUAUGCUCCUGAAUACCAAAUCCAAAGCACCCAGUAUCACUGAAGUUCCUCCUCAACAGUUCAUACUCCUUCACCUUUAAACCACUUUCCAAAAGCUGCAUUGCCUUGUCGCCUCUGACAGUAACAUAGCAUGCAAUCUUCUCGUUUCUUCUGAUUCCAAAGGAUCGCACAGUGUACCUCGCUGUCAAAAUUCAAAGGAGAAAAAAAUGAGACAACCACAUUUAUCCAAUAUAAUAGCCAGUUUAUAAGAAUUAAUUAAUAAUAUAAAGUACAUUUUUAUGGCAUAAAGUACAUUAGAUAGAGUCCUGCUUUUUAGCAUGGAAACUAGGUUUAAUUGAGCAAAAGUAAGCCACAAUGUUCAAGUACAUCAAUGAGUCAAAGACCUUAAACAUUUCUUUUCUUUUCUUACAUGUAUGGAUUUGAUAUUUGAAUGCUUACAUUAAUCCUAUUCCGAAACCCAUAACAACCAUAACACAAUUUUAGUCACAAGUUCAAACCUUUCAUCAUUACCAAUAACUACAAAAUCAAACUACCAUAACUACCCUAUUAUAAAGCUUUCACAUUGUUAUUUAAAGACUAAAACAUAACGCAAUUGAAAAUCCCAUUAUUAACCCUAAAUUAGAUUCCAUACGAAACCCAAGUUAAUUUUUUUGUCUGAAACACAUUACAAUUUCAGAUCGCUAAAAUCCACACUCAUUACCAGCAUUGCAUAAGAACUCGGUAAUAAAUUUCUACAUAACUAACCUUUGGAGAACACUGGGGUUUGACCACUAAGUUGUUCCAGCACCUACAACACAAAAAAUACAUAAAAAUGAAAUCUUUAAAUUGAAAAAAAAAAAUUAAAAACCCAGAUCCAGUGAGAAGAGGGGGUGAAAACCUUGGCAGCUCUGGUGAGACGAUCUCCACUCUCACCGACGGAGAUGUUGAGGACGAGCUUCUGAACCUUCAUAUCCCUCAUUGGGUUCGCCAGUUUCUUGUCGGAAGCCAUUGAUGUGUUGCGGCGGCAGAGAUGAAUGGAAUGAAUAAAC
rnacentral:lncRNA from 1 species